ACUGACCCACCUGCAGCUUCAGUAAAGCAAGAUCUUCCUAAGGUGCAAAUUCAUGACCUUCAUGAUGGUGCUUCUGUCUGCGAUUGCAAAUGGACCUGUGAUGGCCAUAGGUGGUGACUGGCACUGCAGAAGACACGGACUUAUUGAAGAAAUACAUAACAGAAUACUGAAUAUUUAGUAGAGAAAUUGAGAGAAAGAAUAUACAUGAAAGCAACAUCUUUUUGGUUGCUAGAUCAAGAGAGCACAACCUCUGCUUCUGAAGCUGCAUCUACAACACGAGAAUUGGAGGCUUUCUCAGAACUCCAGGAGUGUGGGGACUGUAUGUUGCCUACCCUGCCAGGCCUGCAGCUCACCACCAAGGUAGGAAAUCUGCCCUUGUAGGUGAGCAAAGACUCCGAAAGUACUUCUCAGCCGGUGUGCCCCUGCCCCUGCUGCUUGGAGAGAUGGUGGCAGUGAAGAUGACAUACUAUAGUGNGAUUAAAUGUUGCACAAAGGAUCACUGGAUUCUGUGGCUGUAUCCUG
rnacentral:lncRNA from 1 species